rnacentral:rRNA from 1 species
UACGGGGGGGGUAAGCGUUGUUCGGAAUUACUGGGCGUAAAGGGCUCGUAUGCGGCCAACUAAGUCGGACGUGAAAUCCCUCAGCUUAACUGGGGAACUGCGUCCGAUACUGGAUGGCUUGGAUUUGGGAGAGGGAUGCGGAAUUCCAGGUGUAGCGGUGAAAUGCGUAGAUAUCUGGAGGAACACCAAUAGCGAAGGCAGCUCGCUGGGACGUUACUGACACUGAGGCGCGAAAGCGUGGGGAGCGAACAGG